AUUGAACGCUGGCGGCAUGCUUUACACAUGCAAGUCGAACGGUAACAGGUUAAGCUGACGAGUGGCGAACGGGUGAGUAAUGCAUCGGAACGUGCCCGAUCGUGGGGGAUAACGCAGCGAAAGCUGCGCUAAUACCGCAUACGAUCUGAGGAUGAAAGCGGGGGACCGGAAGGCCUCGCGCGAUCGGAGGGGCCGAUGUCAGAUUAGGUAGUUGGUGGGGUAAAGGCUCACCAAGCCAACGAUCUGUAGCUGGUCUGAGAGGACGACCAGCCACACUGGGACUGAGACACGGCCCAGACUCCUACGGGAGGCAGCAGUGGGGAAUUUUGGACAAUGGGCGAAAGCCUGAUCCAGCAAUGCCGCGUGCAGGAAGAAGGCCUUCGGGUUGUAAACUGCUUUUGUACGGAGCGAAAAGGCUCUCUCUAAUACAGGGGGCUCAUGACGGUACCGUAAGAAUAAGCACCGGCUAACUACGUGCCAGCCGCCGCUGUAA
rnacentral:rRNA from 1 species